ACCUCGUGGUUAGGGUAUUACAUGACAUUGUCAUUAAACCUUUGCCAUACCUCAUAUAAGGGCUCACCACUAAGUUGAGAAAAAUUUGUGAUUUUAUCUCUUAGUU
rfam:Capsicum annuum cultivar Zunla-1 chromosome 2, whole genome shotgun sequence